rnacentral:rRNA from 1 species
AGUAGCUGGUUCCCUCCGAAGUUUCCCUCAGGAUAGCUGGUGCAUUUUGAUAUUAUGUAAAAUAAUCUUAUCUGGUAAAGCGAAUGAUUAGAGGCCUUAGGGUCGAAACGACCUUAACCUAUUCUCAAACUUUAAAUGGGUAAGAACCUCACCUUUCUUGAUAUGAAGGUUGAGGUUAUGAUAUAAUGUGCCCAGUGGGCCACUUUUGGUAAGCAGAACUGGCGCUGUGGGAUGAACCAAACGUAAUGUUACGGUGCCUAAAUUAACAACUCAUGCAGAUACCAUGAAAGGCGUUGGUUGCUUAAAACAGCAGGACGGUGGACAUGGAAGUCGUAAUCCGCUAAGGAGUGUGUAACAACUCACCUGCCGAAGCAACUAGCCCUUAAAAUGGAUGGCGCUUAAGUUGUAUACCUAUACAUUACCGCUAAAGUACAUGAUUUAUAAAGCAAUUUCGGUUGUUUUUAUAAAUUUUGAAACUUUAGUGAGUAGGAGGGUACAAUGGUGUGCUUAGAAGUGUUUGGCGUAAGCCUACAUGGAGCCGCCAUUGGUACAGAUCUUGGUGGUAGUAGCAAAUAAUCGAAUGAGACCUUGGAGGACUGAAGUGGAGAAGGGUUUCGUGUGAACAGUGGUUGAUCACGAGUUAGUCGGUCCUAAGUUCAAGGCGAAAGCCGAAAAUUUUCAAGUUUUAAUGAA